rnacentral:lncRNA from 1 species
GUCAAUGGGACAGAUCUACUGCAUGGAUGAGCACACAUGCACGAACUCCUCCCAGUGCCUGGGAAGCAGAGCAAUCAGAAGGUGGGAACAGAACUGUUACUGUUGUUAAAUGUCAGAAAGCAUUUUCCUCUGUGACAACUUCGCUGGGAAUUACCUUCAGUGUGGAGCUGCAGCUCCUGGAACAAAGCAUUCACCAAAGCAAUUACCCAGACUUCCUAAAAACAUGCAGUUUCUGCUUGUGGCAAUAUGGAUCAGUAACACAUCCUCCAACAUACGGAUUCCUG